UAUUUCUGUGCUUGAUCUGUAUGUUACUAUUUAUAGGUAGCAAUGGCCUAGAAAAGAUUAAUUCAUGAUCUUUCUUGUACCAGAAGGGUAGGGACUGGCACUACUGCAGAUAUGAUCGGGCAGUUUAGAAAAUCGCUACGUUAGGAAGGAAGAUUUAUUAAUAUUUUCUCUUCAACAUCAUUUUAGCAUGACUAAACAAUUGUCUUGGAAAAUUUGUUAAUACUUCGAACACUGAUUAAACAUGAGUCGCAAUCAACUUCAGGGCAAAUUGGGUGGCCAAUUUGGUGGACAACUAACUGGUCUCUCGACAUUAUACACUGUAGAAGCCCUGGAGAUGCUGUUGUUGCCCAUGGCAAAAGAUGGUACUGAGGCUCUUGGCUCAAUGGGAAAUGACGCUCCUUUGGCUGUGAUGUCCAACAGAGAGAAACAUACAUUUGAGUAUUUCAAGCAGAUGUUUGCUCAGGCUACAAACCCACCGAUUGAUCUGAUUCGAGAGAAAAUAUUCAUGUGGAAGGGGACCUUGUUGAAACAGUUCAU